rnacentral:rRNA from 1 species
GAUGAACGCUGGCGGCGUGCCUAAUACAUGCAAGCCGAGCGAACAGACGAGGAGCUUGCUCCUCUGACGUUAGCGGCGGACGGGUGAGUAACACGUGGAUAACCUACCUAUAAGACUGGGAUAACUUCGGGAAACCGGAGCUAAUACCGGAUAAUAUAUUGAACCGCGUGGUUCAAUAGUGAAAGACGGUUUUGCUGUCACUUAUAGAUGGAUCCGCGCCGCAUUAGCUAGUUGGUAAGGUAACGGCUUACCAAGGCAACGAUGCGUAGCCGACCUGAGAGGGUGAUCGGCCACACUGGAACUGAGACACGGUCCAGACUCCUACGGGAGGCAGCAGUAGGGAAUCUUCCGCAAUGGGCGAAAGCCUGACGGAGCAACGCCGCGUGAGUGAUGAAGGUCUUCGGAUCGUAAAACUCUGUUAUUAGGGAAGAACAAAUGUGUAAGUAACUAUGCACGUCUUGACGGUACCUAAUCAGAAAGCCACGGCUAACUACGUG